UACGUAGGGUGCGAGCGUUGUCCGGAAUUAUUGGGCGUAAAGGGCUCGUAGGCGGUCUGUUGCGUCGGGAGUGAAAACUCAGGGCUUAACCCUGAGCCUGCUUCCGAUACGGGCAGACUAGAGGUAUGCAGGGGAGAACGGAAUUCCUGGUGUAGCGGUGAAAUGCGCAGAUAUCAGGAGGAACACCGGUGGCGAAGGCGGUUCUCUGGGCCGAUACUGACGCUGAGGAGCGAAAGCUAGGGGAGCAAACGGG
rnacentral:rRNA from 1 species